rnacentral:rRNA from 1 species
UCUCUGACACGCUGACGCCGUCUGGUGGAUGGCUUGGCUUGAGAGACUAUGAAGGGCGUGGCAAGCUGCGAUAAGCUCUGGGUAGGCGCAGGCAGCCUUUGAUCCAGAGAUACCCGAAUGGGACUUCCUAUCAGAAUGUCUUCGGGCAUACUGAUGAUCCGUAAGGAUUGUGAACCCUCCGAAUUGAAGCAUCUUAGUAGGAGGAGGAAAAGAAAUC